rnacentral:tRNA from 1 species
AGUAGAAUCAGCUAAUUGAAGCUUUCGGGCCCAUACCCCGAACAUGUUGGUUAGAAUCCUUCUUCUGCUA